rnacentral:rRNA from 1 species
AACGAACGCUGGCGGCAGGCUUAACACAUGCAAGUCGAACGCCCCGCAAGGGGAGUGGCAGACGGGUGAGUAACGCGUGGGAACGUGCCCUUCGCUUCGGAAUAGCCCCGGGAAACUGGGAGUAAUACCGGAUACGCCGUAUUGGGAAAGAUUUAUCGGCGAAGGAUCGGCCCGCGUUAGAUUAGCUAGUUGGCGGUGUAAUGGACCACCAAGGCUACGAUCUAUAGCUGGUCUGAGAGGAUGAUCAGCCACACUGGGACUGAGACACGGCCCAGACUCCUACGGGAGGCAGCAGUGGGGAAUCUUGGACAAUGGGCGCAAGCCUGAUCCAGCCAUGCCGCGUGAGUGAAGAAGGCCUUAGGGUUGUAAAACUCUUUUACCCGGGAUGAUAAUGACAGUACCGGGAGAAUAAGCUCCGGCUAACUUCGUGCCAGCAGCCGCAGUAAGAC